rfam:Schistosoma margrebowiei strain Zambia genome assembly, scaffold: SMRZ_scaffold0000579
GCACUACUGAGGAGUCCCAUACUAGGACGAAACGGCCGUCCAGUGU